GUAUUAGUUCCAAGAUGGAAGGUAAAGGUUUAAACCCCCCAAAAAGAUUAGCAUGGCCCCUGCACAAUGAUGACAUUCAAAUUCAUUAAGUGUUCCAUGUUUUA
ensembl:snRNA U6 U6 spliceosomal RNA